UGUCACCUCUUGUCACUCUUUGUUCGUUUUUCUUGUCAAAAUCACUGAAUUAGUUCCGACGAGAAAAUGAAUCUACCUUCUCGUUCACUUUUUGAGCAAAACUCAGAAUUAGAACUUACGUCAAUUAUGGUGCUAUGGGAUACAUUAUAGGUCAUGAAAUCAGUCAUGGUUUCGAUGACACAGGUCGAAAUUACGAUAAAGAUGGAAAUUUGGGAAACUGGUGGCAACCUAAAACACAAUCAGCUUACAAAGCAAAAUCUCAAUGUCUUGUUGAUCAAUUUAGCAAUAUCAAAAUUCCAGAAAUAAAUUUAAAUUUAGACGGCAACUUAACUCUAAGUGAAAGUAUAGCUGAUAAUGGAGCUGUUGAAGUAGCAUAUUUAGCAUACAAAAAAUGGGUUUAUGAGCAUCACUUGGAGAAAGCAUUGCCAGGACUAACAUACACACCAGAACAAAUGUUUUAGAUUUCUCUUGCGACUGUUUGGUGUAAAAUUGCAAAACAAAAAGAAAUAAUGUAUGGUGUUACAAGUGACCAUUCACCGAAUCGUUAUAGGGUCAAUGUACCGCUUAUAGAUUCAGAGUAUUUUGCCAAACAUUUUAAUUGUCCGGUUGGGUCGCCAAUGAAUCCAAAAGAUAAAUGUCAAUUUUGGUAAAAAUCUUAAUCCAUUGCAAAAUCUUUAUCAAAGCAAAGAUUUUGCAAUGGAUUCUAAUCCGGCUGGCAGGCAGACCAGUCAAUUAAAUACAUUUCUUCACCAAUAGAACCAUUUUUUAGGCUUUUAUUCUCUCAAAUCAUGAAUUCACAGAUGUUUUUUAAAACAAAAAGAAUAAGUAGUGCAAAAUCUGCCGAAUCUAUAACAUGUUUAUUUGUGUCAUUGGCAAUAAUUCUGGGUCAAAAUAUGAAAAAUCUCAGGUAGCACAUCUACUGUUAUGGUUUUGAAUAUUAUAAUUAUUUUGUUUUAAACUGAAUAAUAAAUUUUAAAGAAUUAAAUUAA